rnacentral:rRNA from 1 species
GCUGGCGGCAUGCUUAACACAUGCAAGUCGAACGGUGGCUUCGGCCACAGUGGCGCACGGGUGAGUAGCGCGUGGGAACCUGCCCUUUGGUUUGGGAUAACCGCGGGAAACUGCGGCUAAUACCGGAUAAGCCCUACGGGGGAAAGAUUUAUCGCCGAAGGAGGGGCCCGCGUCCGAUUAGGUAGUUGGUAGGGUAACGGCCUACCAAGCCUGUGAUCGGUAGCUGGUCUGAGAGGAUGAUCAGCCACACUGGGACUGAGACACGGCCCAGACUCCUACGGGAGGCAGCAGUGGGGAAUAUUGGACAAUGGGGGUAACCCUGAUCCAGCAAUGCCGCGUGAGUGAUGAAGGCCUUCGGGUUGUAAAGCUCUUUCGCCUGCGACGAUGAUGACGGUAGCAGGAGAAGAAGCCCCGGCUAACUUCGUGCUAGCAGCCGCGGUAAUACGAAGGGGGCUAGCGUUGUUCGGAGUUACUGGGCGUAAAGGGCGCGUAGGCGGCCUGGUAAGUUGGGAGUGAAAGCCCUGGGCUCAACCCGGGAAAUGCUCUUGAGACUG